UACGUAGGGGGCUAGCGUUGUCCGGAAUCAUUGGGCGUAAAGCGCGUGUAGGCGGCCUUGUAAGUCCGUUCUGAAAGCCCGGGGCUCAACCCCGGGAGGCGGAUGGAUACUGCAAGGCUCGAGUCCGGAAGAGGCGAGUGGAAUUCCCGGUGUAGCGGUGAAAUGCGCAGAUAUCGGGAGGAACACCAAUGGCGAAGGCAGCUCGCUGGGAGGGUACUGACGCUGAGACGCGAAAGCGUGGGGAGCAAACAG
rnacentral:rRNA from 1 species